rnacentral:lncRNA from 1 species
CUAUCACACACAACAUUUCAGCUUUUGUUUUUUGUGGGGCAGGGAUUUGAACCUAAGACAUUUGGCUCACCAAACAGGAGCUCUUAUCACAGAGCUACACCUUUAGCCUGCAUCUUUUCUUUGUUUUUUGAGUUCAGAACCAAAAUUGACUUCAGAACAGGAAAGCAUCUUUCUAAACCAUUAUUACUGAGUACUUUGAAAAUUAGCUUUUGAUACAAGUUUGAUGUUUCUUAAGGAAUUCAAACUAAAAUUAUGGUGCAAAACAGUGUUUAUAUGCAAAAUGUAUACUGCAGAAAAAGCCAUUUCAAUGAUAACUAACAUUGUUUUGAAACACAAGCAAUGUUAAAUUGCUUUAAAAAUUUCUGUAUUAUCCAAAGUUAAACUAAGAAGCAAGAUCUCCAUUCCCAUGCAGUUUUGCAGCAGAUACAUUUUUCUCAACUUAAAUUACAGUUGUAAAGACAUUGUAUAGAACUUGAUGCCAAGAGCAUUGGAAAUUCCCAUAUUUCAAAAUCCACUUAAUUAUGCAUCCACCUAACCUCCAUUUGAAGGUGAUUAAUCUGCAAUAUGCUAAAAGGCAAAUAUCAAGAGAAAGUCUAACAGAAUUCUAUAAAUACCUUCCAACAAUGAAGAUUAUGCUUAAUUAAAAUCAUAUGUUUACAGACUGAUAUGGGUAUUGGCACUACCAUUUAGAUGAAAACCAUUUUCAAAGAUGAAACAUGUAGGGCUGGGGCUGUACUUCAGUGACUCGCCUAGCACAUAUAAGGCACUGUGUUCGAUUCUCAGCACCACAUAAAAAUAAAUAAGUAAGAUAAAGGUAUUGUGUCCAUCUACAACUAAAAAAAAUUUUUUUUAAAGAUGAAAACACAUUAUAGGUCAGCAUUGAUACACUUCAGCAAGUGGUAGGGAACACUAUCUUUGAACACUAAUAAAACGGAAUGUGAUGCCAAACAAAAAAAUUCCAUUUGUCUCAUUAGUGUACCUGGAUUACAAAACAGAUUAUACCUGGUUGGGGGUUCAACUCAGUGAUAAGCUUAGCAUACACAAGGCUGUUAGAUCUCCAGAACCACACACACAC